rnacentral:rRNA from 1 species
GAGACCUCAGGUCAGGCGGGACUACCCGCUGAGUUUAAGCAUAUCAAUAAGCGG